rnacentral:lncRNA from 1 species
UCACGUUUAUGAUGUCUUUAGGAACACAAGCACAGUGACAUAACUUAGACAACGUGGCGCGGGAUCGCACGUGUAUUUAAAAGUGUAAAUAGAAAACUAAUGUAUUAUAAUAAUUUAAUAAUUUACUUUUUUUAAUUAGGUGAAAGAAAACGUUUGAUUUAAAUUUGAAAAAUUAUAUCAUCCGAAAAUUGUUGUAUAACUUAAGUUUCCUUGAGAAAUCAAAGGACUUAAUAUUUCUAUAUUGGAACCAAAGAUUGAGGUAGCAAAAAUUGGAACUCAGAUAACCAUCAUAUUAAAUAAAAAUACAUCAAUUGGUGGAAUAUGCGGGAGAUGGGACUGGGAGUCGGGAGAAGAUGAGUACAAGAAUAUAUAUUCAUAUUCUAUGACUUAUCAAUGACUCAAAAUAAAUUUAGUUUAUGUAUAGGUAUACACUGCGCAUUAAAUGCUUAAAAACAUAUUGGUAUAAAGGUUAGUUUUGAGCUGUCCGUUUAGAAAUGUAUUCUAAAUAUUAUUAGGUACAUAUAUAUAGUAUUGAUAGAUAUAUACAGUACGAAUUUUCAGCAAUAUUAAUUUGGUAUCUACUAAUUAGCAUCAACUAAAAUAAUUUAUUUUGAUUGCAUCAAUUAUAGCAGACAAAAAAUUGCAUAAAAAAAUAUUUUACUUGAUUAUUAAUUACAUUCUGGUUACUUUGAAAACUAAGUAUUAAAAAAUUGAUGUGUACUCAAGUGGCUUUAACUUAUUAUUAUAUAAGACAAUCACAGUAUCACUUAAAACAAUUGUGUAUUAAUGAAUAUUUAAUAUUCAACAAGUUAAAUUUGCUAGUUCAAGCAUAUCAACAAGAAGUAUAUUUACAACAUACAGAAUGGAAAUUGAGAAGAAAAUCGGAAACAUAUUACUCAGAGAACCUACCACAUCUGAAAAUGCUGACAUAAAUGGUUUUGUCAUUCAAGAACAUUACAUCCCUUAUGAAUUAUUAUCAAAAAUUUUUUGUUUUUUGAAGCCUAAAGAAUUGAUUGUAUGUCACUUGGUUUGUAAAAAAUUGAAUGAACUAAUCAAAGAAUACAUAUGGAGAAAAAAAGUAGAAUUAAUUUCUGGUGAAUCAUUUUAUUUCAAAGAAGAAAUAAAUUGGCUUUCAUAUUAUCUUUUAUGUGAAAAGAAACUUUUUAACAGAAAUCUUUUACUAUCAGAUAAAGUAAAUGAAAUCCACAAUACAUAAAUGAAAAUCCACCAUGUUUCAAUAUCACAUCAUUUCCUGAGGAUCUUGUAGUAAAUGGAAAAAUUUGGUGCACUAUAUCACCUGAAUACACUAAGUAUUUACCAUCAGAAAGAGAGUAUCAUAUAGAUUUAUUAAAAGAAGGUUUUACAGAAAAGAUAUUAGAUGAUCUCCAACCAAUUAUUAAGGUGAAUGUGUGGUACUGUUGUGAGAAACACAGAUCGACUGAUGUAUUAAGAACCAAAUUUACUUGUGCUUUUGAAUUGUGGGGAACCAAACUAGAUGAUGGAUGCGUUAAAGAAUAUAUCAUGCGUGAUUCUCGUGUAGAAAAAACUUUCGAAUAUCGUAACGAAGUAGGAAGGUGGUUUCAACACACUGAGGAGUUCAAAAAUUAUGGAAAAGGAUUGAGAAAAAUCACAUAUUGGCUUAAUGCAUAUUAUUACGCUAUAAGUGCAGGUGCUAGUGUUAAACUGUGUCUGCCCGAUCUCCUAACAAGUUCCAAUUAAACUAUAACUGUGAAGAAAUCAUAUUUUAAGAAACAAAAUAUUCAUGUGUGCAUUUGUAAUGAGAUUUACUGAGUGU